rnacentral:rRNA from 1 species
UGGGGGAUUUUGCACAAUGGGCGCAAGCCUGAUGCAGCGACGCCGCGCGAGGGAUGAAGGCCUUCGGGUUGUAAACCUCUUUCGCUGGGUUGAAAGGCCAUGCUUUGGGUGUGGUUGAUUUGAACUGGUAAAGAAGUACCGGCUAACUACGUGCCAGCAGCCGCGGUAAUACGUAGGGUACUAGCGUUGUCCGGAUUUAUUGGGCGUAAAGGGCUUGUAGGUGGUUUGUCGCGUCUGUCGUGAAAUCCUGUGGCUUAACCAUGGGCUUGCGGUGGGUACGGGCAGGCUUGAGUGCGGUAGGGGAGACUGGAAUUCCUGGUGUAGCGGUGGAAUGCGCAGAUAUCAGGAGGAACACCGGUGGAAGGCGGGUCUCUGGGCCGUUACUGACACUGAGGAGCGAAAGCGUGGGGAGCCAACAGG